GGUCAGGCAAGCUGGGCCUGUGCUUCACCCUGCUCCGGGGAUUAGGAUUUCACAGAGGUUCUCAGAUGUGAGGAAGGUGGUCUAGAGCGGCUCACUGCUCGCCAACGCAGCCCCCCCAUUAUCAUGUCUGGACCCACUGUGGGAAGUGGAGCUGGGUGGGGGGCUCUAGCGAAGGAUCCUGGGAACACUGGGGAUGGUGGUUUGGGAAGCUCAUUUUCUUCGUCUCCCUGCAAAUGGUGACCAGAGACCCCUCUGAGUAGGUCUGCCGUGGCAGGCUCAGCCCUGUUCUCCUCCGGUUCUGGUGCUGGCUGGCUGAUCAGCAGGCCCCCGCGGCUCAAGCCACAGCUCCAGGACAGGCAGUAGUGGAGCAGACAAAGGACUUCAUUCUCUACAGGGAGAUUGGCGGUGUUGGUAGGACGAAGGGAGCGCUAGGAGAUGAGGAAAGCAGGAGAGGAAGAGAGCUGGCAAGCCCAGCACGAGGGGUCUUAUCCUCCCGGCUCAAACACAUGCCACCAGCUGCUGCCCCCUUCCUGUGCUUUCAUUAAAAAGCCUCCCUGUGCUUCACUGGG